UCGAUGGAUGGAUAUAUAAUGAAGAAUACGUAGCAUUCUCCAAGCUCCUGCAUUGAGAUCAUUCAUUUACUAUGAACCCCCUACUCUGUUGAUAUUGUGUAAUCUCAUCAUUGGUGAUAACUGACAGCUAUUGAUGCUGACAGUAAACAUUUUGUGAUUUUCUAUUUCCUAGUGGAUGCUACGCGACAACGACUGAGUUGGAGAGUCUUCCCCGUUUCGUUUUCACACUCUUUCAUACUGCGUGGAUCAGAGCGAUCAAUGGCUAAGUCAAUGGCAGUGUCCAUGUUCAAGCACUUUAACGACUACAAGGCAAGCCGAAUGUGAACCUCCCUCAUUCUCCUCUCUGUUUUUCUCUCACGCACAUUGAUGUCUUCCCAUUAUGCCCAUCAAACUGCACGAUUCAAUGGUGUGUUUCCAUUUAAAAUCGCUUUCGAUUUUCAUUUUAAUUUCAUCCUAAGCUCAUUUAUGUACACAUGCUAUUCCGGGAAGUCGCAGAACUCCACGUGCCUUUUUAUGGCUAAUGGGGUGUUGCAAGAAAAUAUUUGCGAUUAAUUGCAAAUGUUCUGUUGGAACUUUACAACUGAAAGAUCAACGCUAGCUGUAGCAAAUCAGAUUAAACUUCUUGUUUUCAAGGAGCAGUUCAGUAAUCAAUCACUGAUUUGCAAUUAACUGCAAGACAUAUGAUUGAUUUAGGGACCAAAAAUAGACUUGCAAUUGAUCGCAAAAUUGAUCGCAAGUUUCUUGCAACACCCCAUUAGUGGCUGCCUUGCAAAUUCCGUCCAAAGAAAAUUGAAGUAAAUUUUACUAAAAGAAAAUUAGAAAAAAUAUGAAUGAUGGUGAUGACAAGAUUGAAAAAUUCCUGGAUUAAAUGGUCCAAAUUUAAUUUCAAAGCAACAUUUUCAUUUAGUUGUUCAGCGAAUGGAUUUUUUUUCAAUUUUACAAAAACAGUGUUUUCUAGCAAAAAAUGUAAUUCAAGUUAGAUUCAACUUAUUAUUAUUGUUGCAGGUGGAAGGUAAGGGAAUGGUUAAUUUAAAUCUGCUCAUACAUUUGUUUUUGCUGGAACACACUGUACAUUUAGUGGUACAUAUUAUACAAAAAUGAUAUGUUAUGUCAACACUAGUGGCAUGAGUGGUGAUAAAAAAAAUGAUUCUUUUAAUGUGAAGUUUUCAAAAUACUUGUGUGUGUGUCUAUUUGAUUUAUUAAAAAAACUUUAUUGCUGCUCAUUUUUGAUAGUGAUAUGUGGUGCCUACGUGUAAUUUCAAACUUGGAAACGAUACAUAUAUGUUUUUGUGUUUCUAGUGAAUUUUGAGAAUGUAUAUUUUGUACAAAAGGCAAUCUCAUUGUGAGAAAGUGUUCCUUACAUUGAGCCAUGGGCGUUCAUUUAUCAUAUGAAUUCAACUGACAUGUGUUUGGACAUACAUGUAUAAGCCCUCCAUACACUGCAUAAUCUGAUACGAUGCGAUUUUUGAACAAAUUACAUUUUGCAUUAAGGUUGAAAGUUCCAAGAAGUAAAAUAUUUUAAAUUUGAAGUUCAGCAUAAUGCUCUGAAUUAAUACUAAAAUGACAAUUUACUGCAAGCCUUGUGGCUGGAGAAAAAGUCCAGAUCUGCUUCAAUUAAGAUUUGGAAUUUAGUUUGUUGUUAUUCCUACAGGGAGUCUUGAUUUGAUUUCAGUAUUCAUCAGCUAUUUAGAAAUUUGAUUUUAAGAUUUUAUAGAUUGGAAUGUCCAUAAUUAUCAAAUGCAUUAUAUCACAUUUUCUUUGAAAAUCGGUUAGCAACGGAUUGUGUAGUGUGCUCUGGGCUUUACUCUAUUAAGAGAAAGGGAAAAAAAAGAAGCGAAGUUGAAAUAUUAAUUCUGUUGUUUGUUUGCCUUUAGUUAUUUUGAUUUAUUCAAAACGAUAUUAUCAGCAAGAGCAAUCACAUUUGAUAUUUGCUAUGAUUAACUCAUACAUGUUCAUGCUAGCUCUGUGGACUAGUUUCGUUAAGUUAGAUCUCCAUCAGCAACUCCAACGUCAUUUUGUAGAUUAACCCAAUGCAUGCCUCAUAAAGCGAAAUAGUCAUUAUUCAACAGUAAUUAUUUUGUUUAAAAAUUCAUUCUUUGCAUGCAGUUGCCUGCCCUCAUUUGCAACUCAUAUAAAAUAUUCAUUAUCAUUGCAUUUUUUUUCUGUAUCAACACCUCUCUGCUCUGCAUGGUUCAUGUAUGUUGAUGGCUUUAUGUAGCGUUUGACUUAAAACUGUGUGUUCCUUUUUGAAAUAAUUUAAUAAUGCAUGUAUUGCAUGGGUCUAGUUUUCAUGCUGUAGAAAUGCUUCUUUUGGAGGGAGGGGCUGCUUAAAAACUUGCACGCAAGGAUAGAAUACAUGUAUUCCUAUAGAUUAAAAUUAUAGUCAAUUUUGCAGAUUAAAUCUAAUGUAUUAUGGGAGAAAUGCUGCUACAUUUCUUGAUAAAACUUGCAUGAAAUUUUUAUUUUUUGAAUGCAUGAAAUGCAACUUUCAGUUUUUGCUUGUAGUUUUUCGCACAUUGUGCUUUUGAUUUUGUUAGUGUUUUGCGGUAGUGUUAUAUUUCAUGUUUAUACUGUGAUAUUUAGAAAGUUAUUCUUUUUUAGUUUUUAUAUAUUUCUUCCAAUGUGCUUAAAAAAAAAUUAUAAUCCUAAUCUGGUCAUUGUCGUGUUGACCACAAGAUUCUGAAAAAAUGAAUAUCACAUUAUUUUUCUGCUGAUUUAACCUGGGCAUUUAUAGAAUGAUAUAUAAUCCAUCUUCAAUUUAGCAUUCCUAAUUGCUUAACGUCUUAUACAGGUGUGCAAAUGAAUCUAUACAAUUAUUUAAUCAUUUAUCUCCGUGGUUUAAUAAUUGCACCGAUGCAAUUGUGUUGUUUAACAUAUGGAGUUGUUAUGAAGAAAAACAGAGUCUACUACAUGUAUUAGCACAUUGUGGGACUAUUGAAAUCCAUCCCUGCAUCUUGCCUUCUGCGUUUCAAAUUGAAAGUCUUCAUGGUCUGAUAUGUCAAUCUAUGACGGUAUCCUGGCACAUGUGGGUGUGAGAAUUAGAUUAGCAUUCAUAGAUCUUGACCGUAAUGAAUUCACGCUGAAAACGGGCAUGAACUUGUGCGGCAUUCAACGUGCAUGAUUAAUGUGAUCAGGGUCUCCCCAAGGAACUAUGUUCUUCUCAUUUUGAUAAUAUUUUGUAGGUCUUGCAUAGGUAUAGGUGAUUCCUGAUAGGGAAUGUAAAACUAUUGUGUAUUUUGGAAAAGAGGAGGUAAAGGAUAUGAUUUGGGGGGGGGGGUUUACUAUGGGAUGCAAUGAAAAUUGAAAAAAGAAAAGUUAUUAGGCAGAAAUAAGAGAAAUAUAGGAAUACAGAAAAGAAAAGACAAAAGGAGGGCAGUGAGGGAGAAAUAAAUUUGUUUACAGAAUAGUGAGAGAAAAAAAAAAUCGAGAGAGAAAGGGGGGGGGGGGCAGACAGAAGGGGGAUGAAGAAAGAAGAGGACUAUGUGAGAAUUAUUAAGAUAAUCUUUUUUACAGCAUUAAACAAAGUUGAACAAUGCCAUUUUCAGAACAAAUUUUUAAACAAUUUGAUGGAGGGUUGUCCAUAUUAAAUUUGUGCAUCACAUUUUAGGAGAUCAAUAUUAAAGACCCUGACCGGUGUAAAAACAAUCAUAUAUCAAAAUAAAGGUAAUGAUUCAUACAAUACAAAUAUACCAAAAAUAUUACAUAUAUCUCCUUCCAAUAGUUAAAAAUAUAAAAUAAAAAUCAAAGAAACUGCUCCUCCAAAGUACGCUUCGAUUGAGCACCCCCACGUCGCCUGGAAAUGAUGACAUCACGUUGUGUCAGGAGGGUUGUGAUUCCAUAGGUUUGUGUACAAAAGCAUUGGGUAUUUUAUUCCAUUUCCAUGUUAUGAAUCCAUUAUUUUUUUUCGUUUUCAGAUGAAAAUGGCACUCAAAAUUAUUCACUGUUCAAAUUUUUGUAAACCUGCAACUAUUCACUACCUUUUUUGUGAUUUCUUUGUUUGGCUCUUAUUGGGCCUAAA